AUGAUCUACGGAUUCGAGUCGUCACCAUCUUCUUCGUCAUCAGACGAUGACUUUCCUGUCGUUCCCGAAAUGCGUCCAACCGACCUGUUGAGUUUGGCCAUGAAGAAGCGUCGUGCAUUGUACAACCAGAAGGAAAGGAACAUGCGGUGCGAGGUUUUGCAAACCUCGUUUAUUACUAGUUUGUAAUGAUCAACAUCAGCUGUGCGUCGCCGAACCAAUCGCCAAGAAAGCCAAAACAAGCAACUUCAUGGAUCCCUUCGGACUGGAAGAUUUCUUCAAGGGAAUUAGUUCCCGAUCUGUUAAAGGUUGUCUACUACUGAGCUAGCUGUGGACCACGUCAUUCUCGCUCAUCAUCGGAUCGUUCCCCACUGAGCAACUCGACUCCGAAGUCACUGGAGGAUAGCGCUUGAAGACCGUCGUUCAUCAGGAUCUCACCGAUUUCAUAUUACGGGCAUCGUCUCAAUAGGACAACUUGAAAUAAACAUGGUUUUUUAAUACAUACCUCUUCAAUA
rnacentral:misc_RNA from 1 species